UAGCAAUUAUACAGCGAAACUGCGAAUGGCUCAUUAUAUAAGUUAUCGUUUAUUUGAUAGCACCUUACUACUUGGAUAACCGUGGUAAUUCUAGAGCUAAUACAUGCUAAAAAUCCCGACUCCGGAAGGGAUGUAUUUAUUAGAUUAAAAACCAAUGCCCCCCGGGGCUCCUUGGUGAUUCAUGAUAACUGUUCGAAUCGCACGGCCUUGCGCCGGCGAUGGUUCAUUCAAAUUUCUUCCCUAUCAACUUUCGAUGUUUGGGUAGUGGCCAAACAUGGUUGCAACGGGUAACGGAGGGUUAGGGCUCGACCCCGGAGAAGGAGCCUGAGAAACGGCUACUACAUCCAAGGAAGGCAGCAGGCGCGCAAAUUACCCAAUCCCGACACGGGGAGGUAGUGACAAUACAUACUGAUACAGGGCCCUUUCGGGUCUUGUAAUUGGAAUGAGUACAUCUUAAAUCCCUUAACGAGGAACAAUUGGAGGGCAAGUCUGGUGCCAGCAGCCGCGGUAAUUCCAGCUCCAAUAGCGUAUAUUAAAGUUGUUGUGGUUAAAAAGCUCGUAGUUGAACCUUGGGCCUGGCGGGCUGGUCCGCCUCACCGCGUGCACUAGUCCCGCCGGGCCUUUCCCCCCCGUGGAACCCCAUGCCCUUCACUGGGCGUGGCGGGGAAGCGGGACAUUUACUUUGAAAAAAUUAGAGUGCUCCAGGCAGGCGUAUGCUCGAAUACAUUAGCAUGGAAUAAUGAAAUAGGACGCGCGGUUCUAUUUUGUUGGUUUCUAGGACCGCCGUAAUGAUUAAUAGGGACAGUCGGGGGCAUCAGUAUUCAAUUGUCAGAGGUGAAAUUCUUGGAUUUAUUGAAGACUAACAACUGCGAAAGCAUCUGCCAAGGAUGUUUUCAUUAAUCAGGAACGAAAGUUAGGGGAUCGAAGACGAUCAGAUACCGUCGUAGUCUUAACCAUAAACUAUGCCGACUAGGGAUCGGACGAUGUUAUUCAUUGACUCGUUCGGCACCUUACGAGAAAUCAAAGUGCGUGGCUCCC
rnacentral:rRNA from 1 species